UACGAAGGGGGCUAGCGUUGCUCGGAUUGACUGGGCGUAAAGGGCGCGUAGGCGGUUCGUACAGUCAGACGUGAAAUCCUGGGCUCAACCUGGGGGCUGCGUUUGAUACGUGCGGACUUGAGUGCGGAAGAGGGUCGUGGAAUUCCCAGUGUAGAGGUGAAAUUCGUAGAUAUUGGGAAGAACACCGGUGGCGAAGGCGGCGACCUGGUCCGAUACUGACGCUGAGGCGCCGAAAGCGUGGGGAGCAAACAG
rnacentral:rRNA from 1 species